AUGAACGCUGGCGGCGUGCCUAAUACAUGCCAGUCGAGCGCACGGACGAGAAGCUAGCUUCUCUGAUGUUAGCGGCGGACGGGUGAGUAACACGUGGAUAACCUACCUAUAAGACUGGGAUAACUUCGGGAAACCGGAGCUAAUACCGGAUAAUAUUUUGAACCGCAUGGUUCAAAAGUGAAAGACGGUCUUGCUGUCACUUAUAGAUGGAUCCGCGCUGCAUUAGCUAGUUGGUAAGGUAACGGCUUACCAAGGCAACGAUGCAUAGCCGACCUGAGAGGGUGAUCGGCCACACUGGAACUGAGACACGGUCCAGACUCCUACGGGAGGCAGCAGUAGGGAAUCUUCCGCAAUGGGCGAAAGCCUGACGGAGCAACGCCGCGUGAGUGAUGAAGGUCUUCGGAUCGUAAAACUCUGUUAUUAGGGAAGAACAUAUGUGUAAGUAACUGUGCACAUCUUGACGGUACCUAAUCAGAAAGCCACGGCUAACUACGUG
rnacentral:rRNA from 1 species